UGGCGGACGGGUGAGUAACGCGUGGAAAACCUGCCGUAUACUGGGGGAUAACACUUAGAAAUAGGUGCUAAUACCGCAUAAGUGCACAGCUUCGCAUGAAGCGGUGUGAAAAACUCUGGUGGUAUACGAUGGUUCCGCGUCUGAUUAGCUAGUUGGUGGGGUAAUGGCCUACCAAGGCAACGAUCAGUAGCCGGCCUGAGAGGGUGAACGGCCACAUUGGGACUGAGACACGGCCCAAACUCCUACGGGAGGCAGCAG
rnacentral:rRNA from 1 species